GGGAUCGGGGAAAAGGAAAAAAUUGUGAGAAACUAAACAGACGUCACCUUUUUCAUAUUUUUGAGCUUGACUGGAAUCAAGAUUUCACAUGGCACCUCGAGGACAGGAUUAUUAAUAGCCUUUGUGUCAGCCUGAUGGCUUUCCUGAUGGGGGUUCUGUGAGAGUGCUGAGCCCGGAUGCCCAAGGCUUCCACUGCGUGUAAUGAAUUAGCUCCCACUACCACACAGCUAUCCUGGAACUAGCUAAGAACCACCCAUGGGAGAACUGGGAGAAUCGUCAUUUGAAUCAUUUCCUGUGUUCUGUGGUUCAGGUGAAGGAUGCAAGAUGAGAAAGAUGAAAUCCUCUAAUAUGGAAAACAGAUUAGCAGUAGGCAGGGAAUGGCAACCAGAGGUAGAAGAUUUUAAAAAUUAAGGGAAAGGUUUGGUGCAGGGAGGCAAGGUGAGAUCAUGGGCUUUGUAUCAACCCAGCUAUGCUACUUACUGUCUACGCCACAUGAGAAAGUGACUUAGCUUCUAUAAAUCUGAACUUCUUCAUCUGUGAAAUAGAAAUAAUGUAGCCUACUUCCUAAUAUCUGUGUAAAGAUUAAACAGGAUAACAUAUAAG
rnacentral:lncRNA from 1 species